UUCAUUUUUAGAGGUACCGGGAGUGCAUACGGAGUAGCUAAUUUCGUUUUGGGCUUGGAGGAGUGGAUUUCAAGUGGUGUGUUUAGAGAAAAAGGCGGUGCAACAAGAAUUAAAAUGGAAAGCACCAUAGUCCAUGAUGCAAUUAAUUGGGAAGCAGCAAGGUGGAGAAUUAAUAGAAGAGCACCGGCCCACAUUUGGUUUGGCUUUGGAGGGAGUGCACAAGGGAGCUGGAUGGAACGUGAGAGCAUCCACUUACACGCUUUUGGCUGGGCUUUUAAAAAUAUUUGUUUGGAAGAAGAGCAGCAGCGGUUUGGUGUCAUGGGGAGAAGGGGAGAGAGCUGGGACAUGGAAGUGGGAGGCCACGCACAUCAAGGACACGACCCAGGAUUAAGUGCUACUGCCACCUCUUAAAGGUCCAGCAGCUUGGAGAAUAAGGCACGGUCCAGCAGCAACUUGGAGAGCUUCACACGUCCAGGAGAGAAGCGGUCCAGCAGGGGGUGACGAACAGCAAAGCAAGUCCAGCAGCUUGGAAGUGGUGUGAGUAUUGGAGAAUAGGGUGACGGGUAGGAAGUACGGGAGGCACUCUUGGUCCAGCUUGCACACGGCAUCCAGCCACCGAGAUGGAGAGAGUUUUUAUUAGGGAUGGUAUGUCGAGAAAGGAGGGACGCGCACACGUUGAGAAAACCAGCCGCCACAGUAGAAAGAGAGGGAGAACCACCGAGAGAACUGUAGUGCACACGGUGUCACGACUGAUUCCAGGAGGGGAGAGCAGUCACCCACUGGGGGUCUCUCUCGGUUAUAUCUUCCAGCAAGCAACUCUCAGUUUUGAUUCUUUUUCUUUUCUUAGAUAAUAGGUGCUGGAAUGAAACACAGUGAUAGAGAAAGAGCUCCAACCGCCACACUUGCUUAGUUGUCUUUUUUGUUGGGAACAUUUUCAUUUUGGAAGAAAGAAAUUAAAAGUGUGAAUGUUGUUACGGUGGAAUGAAGAAGCUUCACUGUAAUUUGAUGCACUUUAAGUUGAUGUUGUUGAAUACCGAUUGCCAUUUUCAUUU